rnacentral:rRNA from 1 species
GUCUGCUUGGAGAUAUAAGAAGUCUAGCCUGCUCUCUGAUUUUUUUAAAGGGCCGCGGUAAUCUGACCGUGCAAAGGUAGCAUAAUAGUUAGUUUUUUAAUUGGGAUCUUGUAUGAAUGGUUGGACAAAAGAAAUACUGUCUUUGUAAUUGUUAUUGAAUUUAACUUUUAAGUGAAAAGGCUUAAAUUGAUUAAGAAGACCAUAAGACCCUAUAAAGCUUUAUAAGUAGGUAUUAUUUAGUUAAAUUAAUUAAUAAAAUCUUAAUGAUUUAAUUAUUUUAUUGGGGAGAUAAUAUUAUAAAUGAUAAUAACUGUUAUAAAUUAUUACAAAUAUAAAUGUUUAGGUGAAAUAGAAGAUCCUAUUUAAAGAUUAAGAGUUUAAGUUACUUUAGGGAUAACAGCGUUAUUUUUUUUAAGAGUUCAUAUCGAAAAAAAAGAUUGCGACCUCGAUGUUGAAUUAAAAUUUCUAAAUGAUUGCAGAAGUUGUUUUAGAGGGUCUGUUCGACCUUUAAAUUUUUACAUGAUUUGAGUUCAGACCGGCGUGAGCCAGGUUGGUUUCUAUCUUUUAAGAAUUAAUAAGAUUAUUCUAGUACGAAAGGAUUGAGUAAUCGAAUUUUAUUUAUUAGUGG